AAGUCGUAACAAGGUUUCCGUAGGUGAACCUGCGGAAGGAUCAUUACAGAAUUGUUAGGUUGAGGUUGUCGCUGACUUCUAUUUGAAGUAUGUGCACGCCUCUUCCAAAACUCUUCACUUUAACCACCUGUGCACCUUUUGUGAGCUUUUGUGCUGGAUAAUGAUUUUUCAUUGCGGUUUGAGAUUUGCGCCUAACACGCGCUUUUCUUGUUUACUGUCGCAUGUGUGGGUCUUUAUCCGCCAAAGUUCAUGUUUACUACACACACCAUGUAUUUUAAACCUCAGAAUGCUUCAUUAGAGUUGGGACUCUAGCGCCCUUCUUUAUAAAACAAAAAGUCUAUACAACUUUUGACAACGGAUCUCUUGGCUCUC
rnacentral:misc_RNA from 1 species